rnacentral:antisense_RNA from 1 species
CUUGAUCGACCCGAGCCACAGCGGCCGAUCCUGCGGCCGCCCUUGGCCAUACGUCGCCAGCAGCGCCUGCGCCUC